AACGAACGUUAGCGGCGCGCUUAACACAUGCAAGUCGUACGGAAUCGGGGCAACCCGGUUCAGUGGCGCACGGGUGAGUAACACGUAGGUAAUCUUCCCUCGAGUGGUGGAUAACCUUCC
rnacentral:rRNA from 1 species